UUUAAAACUCUCAUCGAGAUAUGUAAUUUGCAUUUAAUAGAUAUCAGAGCUUCAUAUUCAUAUAAAAUUUCAUCUUCUCUCCAUUCUUCACUUUCAGCAGGCGAAUUCAAAAUUUGAGAGGGUUUCUGUUUUUAGUUUCAGCAGUUGGAUUGAGAUGUCACGACCCUAAAUUUGCUUCCUGAGUCAUAGACAACCCUAAAGAGAAAGAGGAGAAGGAGAGUCUCCGAAGAUUACCUCGUGGGCAUAAUCAUAUUCCAAUAUCUACAAUUUCGAUGCCAUUGCCGAUCGAUCUAAACAUUUCAAAACCCUCAAUCGGAUCCAUCAAACUCUACUUAUCAAACAACAAGUAAGAUCACUCAUCCAUUGUAGAUACAAUUCAUCAAAUCUUUAUGCGUUUGAGUUAUUGAAUCGAGUUUUGGUGUAUGAAUAAUUGAAUCGAGUUAUUUAGGGUUAGGUAUAGUAUCGAUUUUUUUUGUAUGUUUAUGCUGAAACGGUCAAGAUUAGCUACUCUGUUGCCUAAUGAUGAACCGAAGAGGAGUUUGGAAGCUAGCUGGUUUCAUGCUAAUUUUCCGUUUAAAAGCCCUUUGCUUCGGCUUCGUAAAGAUGGUGAUAUUAGAAUCGCGUAUCACAACUCCUCAGAUGGGCUUAUAUGCUCUCUCUCUAGGGCUUUGUCGUAGAGAGGUGUUGCAAAAAAGAUUCCGAUUUUGGUUCAUUGAAACUAUCACUAGUUGAUGGGCGAACUUUAACUGAUUUUAUGCACACACGAGGUCUCCGCAUGCGUUCUCUAGGACAAGUGAGGAAAUGGCUGAUGCAAUUGUAGUGGCAUUGAAUCUUAUGCUCGGGGUUCCAGAAAGCGAGCAAGUUGUUGAUUCACUAACAAGAACAUGGCUUGAUGUUUUCUUAAAAAAGAGAUACGACUGGGAUCUAUCCACUUUUAACUACACAGAACUCAGAAAAAUUGCUAUAUUACGUGGCUUAUGUCCUAAGGUAAUUAAAUACUAAUUACCCUCUCUUAAGCAUCAUUAAUAUUACCAGCUGCAGCCACGACCCGCAUUCUCCAGCUGUGAUUAGAUUCAGCCUGUUGUGACUUGCUAUGGUAAUGAAGUCAGUUUUAACUAUUUAAGUCGUGGGUUGUUUACUUUUCGUUUAUUUCGGUAUUAGUGGUCAGUGGUGUCCCCAACGGUGAUAUAGUUUAUAUUCAUGCUUCAUCAAACAAUUUUAUGAUAAAAAUGAUUAUUGAAGAAUAAUGUCUUUUGCGAAUUACGAAGCCUAAACCAUUGGUUAUUAAUUGGUAUUUGACCUAUAUGGUUUAAACGGGUGUUAAAUCGGAUUAACCCAGACCGAACCGUUCAUAACUGUUAAGAAACCUAACUAAGACGAUUGCUACCUACUCCAAAAAGCGGUUAAUCUGAACCAGUUCUACCAAGAAGCGGUUUGGUUUUCGUUGUCCCAACCCAUAACCAAAUACCUUAAACAGAUUUAUAAAGCUCUUCGGGAGCUUCGUGCUUUUAUUGCCAACAAGAAUUGCACACCAAUCAUGUUUCGAUUAGCGUAAGUCUUAAACAUGCAAGUAUGUAAGGUUACUAAUGAUUGUAUUGAAAUUGAUUAUAAUGAUGUUGUAGGUGGCAUGAUGCUGGAACAUACGAUGUGAAUACGAAAACCGAAGGUCCGAACGGUUCGAUUAGAAGAGAGGAGUAUAGUCAUGGCUCUAACAAUGGGUUGAAGAUUGCUAUCAAUUUUUGCAGUAAUACCGUCGCAAAUAUGCUCUUGAAAUAAACUCACUAGAAAUAGCAUACUGGUUUAUGCAUGGCCCGUACAAGUGUUAUGGUGCAUUCCUUGGUUUGAAAGUGCUUGGACCUUAGUCCUCUGAAGAUGUUCGUGGACUUCUAAAAGCUAAAACUAGAGUCCUGUCCCUGGUCUCCGGCUGUAUUGGUUCAGAACUAUUUAGAGAAAGGGUACUCUGUUGUUAACAUCCAGUGCAAAGAUCAUCCCAAGCUUUUAUACGAUGUUGUUUUCACUCUAUCUGAUAUGAAAUAUAUUGUCUUUCAUGCCAUGAUCGACACCACAGAAAACGACGCUUAUUUGGAAUUUUUUAUUAGACAUACGGAACGGACCGCAAUAAGUUCAGAAGCCAAAAAGCAACGUGUGAAUCUAUGCUUCAAAACCGCCAUCGAGAGAAGAGCAUCUGGGGGCAUUAGGCUGGAGUUAUGCAAUGACGAUAAACCAGGACUAUUAGCCGAAGUGACACGAGCAUUCAGAGAGAACGUGCUAAAUGUUACAAGAGCUGAAAUAUCUAUGACAAAGGGCAAAGCGGAGAACAUAUUCUACUUGACGGAUGCACAUGGAAACCACGUUGAUUCAAAAAACAUAGAAUCGGUUCGACAAAGAAUCCGAUUAGAUUACUUGAGAGUAAAGGAAUUACCAUUAGCAUUUAGGAAUAAUGAAAAGGGAGGGAAUGUGAAGGGCGGGGCAGUGUUGUUACAUCCUCAAAGAAGCAGCUGCUUAUUAAAGAACAAUUAUAGUGUAUAGUUUGUAAGUUUGUUGUUAACUACGGAGUACCCUUUCUCAAAGAGAGAAGUUGAGUUUUUAAGUAUGUAUUGUGUCAAGUGCUUGUAAUGUACAGUUUUGCGACACAUAUUUGUUGUGAUUAUUACAUAGACUGAUUUAGUUA